GAGGGAUAGCUCAGUUAGAAGAGCAUGAGACUCUUAAUCUCCAGGUUGUGAGUUCCAGCUUCAUGUCAAGCA